CGCGAGGUCGUCCCUGCCCUUAAGCUCCAAGACUCUGGCUUUUCUUUCCUUUCCUCUUCCUCGCUCUUUCUCUUAUUUUCUGUCCUCUGGAACCCGGUUUCUUUUUCUAAGUCCACGGUCACGGCCUUUUUUUUGUCCCGCCGUCUUUCAGCGUCUCUGUCUCCCUCUUUUUCACAUUAUUUCCAGGUCUCCUGACUUCUGCGCUGGCUCUCUCUGGGUCUUGCGUGGUCUCUGCAUGUCUGGCUCCGGGUCUCUGGGAUGGUCCCUCCAGUACUCCGUGGCCGCCCGGCCCUCUGCGCUCCCACGCUCCGGCUAUCCCCUGGGAAGCUCGCUCACACCUCCAGGUUCCUGCCACUCCCCGCCCGCCCCUUCCCAGCCGCUUUGAUCCCGCACGCGUCGGGUCAGCAGGUGGCCGGGCUCCCGCCGACUGCCGCGGCCACUUCUACAAGCAGUGGGAGCUCCAACUUGGUAAGCCAGUAAAGAACCUUGCUGAUCACGGCCACCUGAGCCUGGUUGGGGACUCCUCCAGUAAGCUGCCAGGACCCCUUGUCCAGAGGAUCUGCCCUUCAGAAUUCCCUGGAACAGCAUGGAGUGCCCUAGCACUUGACAGCUGGAUGGACAUUUGAGAGCUAGCAGGCUCCAUACUGUUGGGGACAUGGGAAGUAAAGCAGAAGGAUGAUGGGAUUCCUGAAGAGUCGGAGGGUGAAUGGAUAAGGAAAUGUGAUAUGAUUGCUAAUAGCACUGAGAAACCACGUGAGUUUGGAGUUACGAAUUCAAAUUGGCAGUUAACAGGUUUUUGCAGGACAGAACCUUUGGAGGAGAAGCAGCAGGAGUCUGAGGCCCGCAAGAGAGCGCUCGUGGGCAGAUCCUGGAAUCCCCUAGAGGCUCAGAAUAAAAGUGGAAUCAGCACUAGAAAAAUUAAUU